rnacentral:rRNA from 1 species
GCACUCCCGGGGCGUCUCUUUCUCAUUGCGAGUGGAGGCGCACCCAGAGCGUGCACGCUGAUACCCGAAAGAUGGUGAACUAUGCCUGGCCAGGACGAAGCCAGGGGAAACCCUGGUGGAGGUCCGCAGCGAUUCUGACGUGCAAAUCGAUCGUCGGAGCUGGGUAUAGGGGCGAAAGACCAAUCGAACCAUCUAGUAGCUGGUUCCCUCCGAAGUUUCCCUCAGGAUAGCUUGCGCUCACGUGAACGAGUCUCAUCCGGUAGAGCGAAUGAUUAGAGGCCUUGGGGUCGAAACGACCUCAACCUAUUCUCAAACUCCAAAUAGAUGAGAACUCCGGCUUCCUUGAAACUUUGUUUUUGAAGCCGGGGGCUCGGAUCAGAGUGCCAAGUGGGCCAAUUUUGGUAAGCAGAACUGGCGCUGUGGGAUGAACCAAACGUCGAGUUAAGGCGCCUAAAUCGUCGCUCAUGUGAAACCAUGAAAGGCGUUGGUUGCUUAAGACAGCAG